UACGUAGGGUGCAAGCGUUGUCCGGAAUUAUUGGGCGUAAAGAGCUCGUAGGCGGUCUGUCGCGUCGGCUGUGAAAACCCGGAGCUCAACUCCGGGCCUGCAGUCGAUACGGGCAAACUGGAGUGUUGCAGGGGAGACUGGAAUUCCUGGUGUAGCGGUGAAAUGCGCAGAUAUCAGGAGGAACACCGGUGGCGAAGGCGGGUCUCUGGGCAGCAACUGACGCUGAGGAGCGAAAGCGUGGGGAGCGAACAGG
rnacentral:rRNA from 1 species